rnacentral:rRNA from 1 species
UACAGAGGUCUCAAGCGUUGUUCGGAUUCAUUGGGCGUAAAGGGUGCGUAGGCGGCGCGGUAAGUCGGGUGUGAAAUCUCGGAGCUUAACUCCGAAACUGCAUUCGAUACUGCCGUGCUUGAGGACUGGAGAGGAGACUGGAAUUUACGGUGUAGCGGUGAAAUGCGUAGAUAUCGUAAGGAAGACCAGUGGCGAAGGCGGCCCUCUGGUCCAGUACUGACACUCAAGUGCGAAAGCGUGGGGAGCAAACAGG